GCAGAGGAGCCCAGUCCUGGUUCCCACUCGGUGAACAGGACUAAGAACAGACAGCUCAUCAUGGAGUUUGGGCUCAGUUGGGUUUUCCUGUUUGCACUUCUGAGAGGUGUCCAGGCUGAGGAGAAGCUGGUGGAGUCUGGUGGAGGCUUGGUGCCACCUGGGGGUUCCCUGAAACUUUCCUGCGUGGCGUCAGGAUUCACCUUCAGUAGCUAUGGCAUGAGCUGGGUCCGCCAGGCUCCAGGGAAGGGGCUGGAGUGGAUCACAUCUGUCGGUACCAAAGGUAACACAUACUACGCAGAGUCCCUGAAGGACCGAUUCACCAUCUCCAGGGACAACGGCAAGAACACGCUGUAUCUGCAGAUGAGCAGGCUGAUACCCGAGGACUUGGCAGUGUAUUACUGUGCAAGAGACACACUGAGGGAACAUCAGUGUGAGCCCAGACAAAAAGCUCCCUGA